rnacentral:rRNA from 1 species
UGAGGAAUAUUGCUCAAUGGGCGAAAGCCUGAAGCAGCAACGCCGCGUGCGCGAUGCAGGUCUUCGGAUCGUAAAGCGCUUUUGAGAGGGACGGGAUAGGACGGUACCUUUUGAAUAAGUCACGGCUAACUACGUGCCAGCAGCCGCGGUAAAACGUAGGUGGCAAGCGUUAUCCGGAUUCACUGGGCGUAAAGCGCGUGCAGGUGGCUUCGUAAGUUGGACGUUAAAUCUUCCGGCCUAACCGGGAGGUGUCGUUCAAUACUGCGGGGCUUGAGGGUAGAAGAGGGAGGCGUAAUUGCCGGUGUAGUGGUGAAAUGCGUAGAUAUCGGCAGGAACACCUGUGGCGAAAGCGGCCCCCUGGUCUGCUCCUGACACUCAGACGCGAAAGCUAGGGGAGUGAACG